CUAGCAUUCACAGUCUCCGUAGUGGACGUACAAGUAUCGGCUUUCUCACCAUCUUCGUCUUCUUCGUCUCGAUCCCAACAUCGGUCGAU
rnacentral:ribozyme from 1 species